rnacentral:lncRNA from 1 species
AUGCAUACGUUAGGGAGCUUGCCUCACCGAGCUCUUCAAGCUCUAGCCAAAAAGUAUGGCCCCAUAAUGCACAUGCGGUUAGGCUUUGUGCCUGCCAUUGUUGUUUCUUCCCCUCAGGCUGCCGAGCAGUUCCUGAAGACACAUGACCUUGUUUUCGCUAAUAGGCCACCCCAUGAGUGUUCAAGGCACAUUUUAUAUGAUGGAAAGGGCAUAUCGUUUUCGGAGUAUGGCCCUUAUUGGCGCAGCAUGCACCUUGGAGUUGCUCAGCAGCCAUAAGAUUAACUCCUUCAAGCCUAUGAGAAGGGAAGAGGUUGGCCUGUUUAUCAAGUCUUUUGAGGAAGCCGCGCGAGCUGGUGCUGCAGUUGAUGUCAGUGCCAAGGUUGCGUUGCUGAGUGCAGACAUGAGUUGUAGGAUGGUAUUUGGGAAGAAGUACAUGGACAAGGAUCUUGAUGAAAGGGGAUUCAAGGCUAUGUUUCAAGAGGUAAUGCAGCUGGCUGCUACUCCUAAUAUUGGUGAUUACAUUCCUUGCCUUCUGGGGCUUGACCUUCAGGGUCUGACACGGCGGACAAAGGCAACGGGUAAGGUGUUUGAUGACUUCUUUGAGAAGAUCAUUGAUGAACAUAUUCACAAUCCUAAGGAGGAAGGACAGACAAAGGACUUGGUCGAUGUGAUGCUGGUCUUAAUGGGAUCUGAAGGAACUGGAUACAAUAUCGAACGGGCUAGCAUCAAAGCCAUAUCUUUCGUAAGCAUGUUUACAUUAAAUUACGAUUGUUUUAAACAUGAAGCUGCAGAAAACUUAAUUCCCAUGUAAUAACAGGAUAUGCUGGCAGGCUCCAUGGAGACUUCAUCAUCCUCCAUCGAUUGGGCAGUUGCAGAGCUCAUCAGGCAUCCCCGAGUAAUGAAGAAAGUCCAAAGUGAGUUGGAAAAAGUGGUGGGCAUGGAGAGGAUGGUGGAGGAAUCAGACUUGGAGAGCUUGGAGUACUUGAACAUGGUUGUGAAGGAGACCUUGAGGCUCUACCCAGCGGGGCCAUUGUUGGUCCCUCAUGAGUCCAUGGAAGACUGCACAGUCAACGGCUUCUACAUACCCCAAAAGUCCCGCAUCAUAGUGAAUGCAUGGGCGAUAGGGCGGGACCCUGAUUCAUGGACUAAUGCAGACGAGUUCCUCCCUGAGAGAUUUAUCGAAGGCGAUAUAGAUUUUCGGGGAAAGCACUUCCAGUAUAUCUCAUUUGGGUCCGGUAGAAGAGGGUGCCCUGGGAUGGAAUUAGGCAUCACUGUGGUUCGAUUCGUGGUGGCACAACUUGUGCAUUGCUUUGAUUGGGAACUUCCAGAUGGGAUGUUGCCUAGUGAGUUGAACAUGACUGAGGAGUUUGGCCUCGCAAUACCAAGAGCCAAGCAUCUAGUGGCUAUUCCUACUUAUCGCCUUCGCCAAUAAUAAAUUCUCUGUAUCAUUAUCAACUGAGUUCAUCCCAUGUUGGAUGCCAAAUAUUAAUAACAGCCCUUUACAUUUUAUGUAAAGCUACAGUAUAUAUCACGUUCAGUUUCAGAAGAACAUGACAUUUGGGCUGUGAUAAUAAUCGUUUAAUCGUAUGAAAACCUGAAACUUGAUCAAGAUCGAUCAUAUUCAUAAGAACAUAGAUUAAUGUAGGGCUGGAAUGGACCUAACUCUACAUAUACUGCAGCAGGACAUCAACUUCAGAUAAAUUGUAGUCAGAUAGCUCUAAUACGUGGUAAAUAACUUUCCGUAUUCAUUAUAUUAAUGCACUAUCGUUUGAGAGUACUCAACAAUGUAUAAAAUGAAUUUUAAUCUGAGUUACACGCUGUCAUUUCUUUAUUUAUUUGUAGUAACACCAACCUGAAUUGAGAAUAUCAAAAUGAUAAAGAUUGUGAUAUCUCAGGUCGUAUAGAAGGAAAAAGUUUAUAAAGUUAUAUAUAUGCAUCAACUUUUAUAUAUUAAUCAUAUAAAUAUGUUUUAAAGUUGUGAAAACCUUUUGAAUCCAAAGAAGAUAAUAUCUAUUGCAAAAGAUAGUUGUUUAUUUGAAUGAUAUCAAAAUCCAACAGUGAUAUCUCUAAUUUGGCCUCACAAUCUUAUAAUUAAGAUGAAACAAGGAUAAUUGUGAUGAUGUUAUAUUUAUAUAAGAAGUGAUUGUGAUAUCCCACAUUGAAUUAUGUAAAUCAAUAUUAUAUCUAUAUAAGAGGUGACUUUUAUAUUCCACAUUAGAUUUCUAUUAACUAUGUAGACUAAUGUUUUCAGAAUCGGAUCGGAUAUUAAACAAAAAAAGUUAUCAGUUCACAGUUCAUUGGUCGGACCGAUAGUCGAACCGUUGUUGAAUCGAUGACUUCAUAAAUAUAUAUUUUAUAUUUUAUUAGAAUUAAAAUAUUUAAAAUAUAUAAUUAAAAAUUAAAUAAUAUUUAUAAUAUUAUUUAUUCAUUUUUAUACAAAUAUAUUAAUGGUUUAAAUUUAUUAAACAAAAUAUAUACAAUAUUUAAAUAUGAAAAUAUAUUCAAAAUGGAAAGAAAAAAAGUCAUAUUUAAAUAUGAAAACAAAUUGAAAAUAAAAAUAAAUAUAUGAUUUAUAUAUAUAUAUUAUUUUUUGAAAUAGCUUAUGUAGUUGUUUUAUGUUAAAUAUUAACACAAACAAGGAUGGAGCAUAGUGGAGUAGUUAUAUUCAUAGAGCUUGGGGUCUGUGAUUCAAAUAUAAGUUCAUUUUUGCUUUUAACCCUUUACCUUAUCCCAUAUCGGAAGUAAGAGGAAAAAUAAAGUGUUUUAUAAACUUCUUCCCCACUUAAAAAAAAAAGAUCGGUCCAAUUAAUAGCCAGUCAAAAGUCAUACGAUGUAGCAUACUUACCACAUUUUGUAAUACUUACCUCUUCCCAACUAACCUAAGCUAGGCGGUCAAGCCAAGUGGUUGUUGGGCCUUAUUGCACAGCCUUCGGUUAAGGCCCAUUUUGUAAGAUAUAAGAUGGGUGUGGGCAUUUAAUAUUGGGCUGUGGAGAGAAUAUAACCCAUUUUGUCAAAAAAAAAAAAAAAAAAAGGUAGGCAAUUAAUGUUGGACCGUGAGGGAGUGGCCCACUUAGUAAAAAAAAACCGGUCCAAUUGAUAGUCAGUCAAAGGUCACCGGGUAGCAUACUUACCAGUUACCACAUUUUGUAAUGGGGUGGAUUAAUAGUCCCAAUCAUCUAUACUAGGAAAAAUAGUAAAAAAUAAAAAUAAAUGGAAUUUGGAUUCUCCUGCUAGUAUUUAGCUUAAUCUACGGAUAAAAGAUUUUGAUGAUUAUUUGUGUAGGAAGUCAAGACAAAUCUCUCAGCUAAGCUCUAAAUAUAUAGAACUUAAAAUUAAAUAUUGCUUAAUACUUUCAAGUGUUAAGUUGUUUGCCUUAUUAAUAUUUUAUUUUUUAAUUAAAUAUUAAAAAGUGAAAUAAAAAUCAAUAUAUUAUUUUUAAUAUUAAAAAAUUAAAUAUUUUGAUUUUUUCUAUUUAAUAAAAAAUUUAAGAAAUAAUUAAUAAAUUCAUAAAAAGUAAAAAAAACAAACAAUUUAAAAUCUAGAUGAAAGUUGCUUUCAACAAAAAAAUUAAAAAGACAAACAUCAUCUAAGAACUAUAAUAUUAAAAAAUGCUAAUGAAUUUUAAGGUAUCAAUUAAACUAAAUAUUCGAAUUAUUGAAUAAAUAUAAUGAGAUUUAAAUUAUUGAAUAAAGGUAUAAACUAAUAAAAUAAAAUAUCUAUACAAUGACAACUAAUUGACGGUGACUUUUUAAUAAUUAUAUAUAUAUAUAUAUAUAUAUAUAUAUAUAUAUAUAUAUAUAUAUAUAUAUGGAUGAUUAUUGUGAAUUCAGGAUGACAAAAUCGUCACUAAUCAAAUGUGUGCCUUAAAUGAAUUGUUAUGACAACUAAUUGACGGUGACUUUUUGAUAAAUUAUAUAUAUAUAUAUAUAUAUAUGUGGAUGAUUAUUGUGAAUUCAAGAUGACAAAAACGCCACUAACCAAAUGUGGGUGUGCCUUAAAUGAAUUGUUAGAUAUGUACUUCCAAAGAAAAUUACAAGGGGACUGGAGCCAGCCAUUGAUGAAUUGUCAGAUAUAUACUACCAGAGAAAAUUAGAAGGGGAAUGGAGCCAGCCAUUGAUGACUUCUAGGCUGAGAAUGAUAGUGAAAUCUUUUACAUCACUGAGAUAGUUUAUGCGGACCGGAGCCAGCCAUUGAUGACUUCUAGGCUGAGAAUGAUAGUGAAAUCUUUUACAUCACUGAGAUAGUUUAUGCGGACCGGACCCAGCCAUUGAUGACUUCUAGGCUGAGAAUGAUUGUGAAAUCUUUUACAUCACUGAGAUAGUUUAUGCGGACCGGAGCCAGCCAUGGAUGACUUCUAGGCUGAGAAUGAUUGUGAAAUCUUUUACAUCACUAAGAUAGUUUAUGCAGACCGGAGCCAGCCAUUGAUGACUUCUAGGCUGAGGAAUGAUUGUGAAAUCUUUUACAUCACUGAGAUGGUUUAUGUAGCUCAGCCAUUAGCUUGCUCAAUCUUGAUACGUGCUUGGUUACCGAGAAAUACCAAGAAAUGAAGCUGCAGGCCGAGCUUGAGACUUCUGUUUCAUGAUUCAAUCCUUAAUUAGCAGCCACUGAGGCUUUAUUUGUUCUAUCAUAAAUGUUUUUAUGAAUAUUAAUAGAUUGAAAUUUAAAUAUAAAUAAAAUGCUUUAACCAGUAGUUUUUGCCAUGUGUGAAUAAAAAAUAAUUUUUAAAAGAAAUUUUAGUAAGCGUUAAUUAAUCAAAUUUUUAUGUUAAAAUCUUAAAUACAGUGAUAGGCAAGGAUGAGCAAAAAAGGUUCACCUUUGAAUUAAUCAUCUUAUUAAUGAAAUUAAUUACUCUUAUUGAAUUUAAAAGCACUUAAAAUCUAUUUACAAGUGAUUUUAAGAAGACUCAAAGCGUAAUUGAUUUUGAGAAGACUUAGGUGGUGUUUGUUUUUUGGCUGAAUAGAAAAAGCCAAAAUAUUUGACUUUUUCUAUUCAACUAAAAGUAACUUGUUGACAUCAUCCAACAUAGCUAAAAUGAAUUUGUUACCAAUAGGUUCANNNNNNNNNNNNNNNNNNNNNNNNNNNNNNNNNNNNNNNNNNNNNNNNNNNNNNNNNNNNNNNNNNNNNNNNNNNNNNNNNNNNNNNNNNNNNNNNNNNNAACCAAAAAACAAACACCACCUUAGAGCGUUUCCUAAUAAUUAAAAGUACUUUUAAUUACUUAUAAAAAUUAUACGCUUAACAAACUUUUAAAAAUUAGGUAAUCAGUUAAAAUGAUUAUUUGAGAAUUACUUGAUAAGUAAUUACUUCUUUUAAAAAUCACUUCAUAAAAAAAAUUAAUUAAAAAAAAUGGAAUCUGAUCAUCAGUUCUCUAGUACCUUACUGCUAAUUAAAUGCUGAAAAUAAAGGUACAUAAAACAGAAGGGUCACAAUCUGCUUUGAUCUUCAUCUCAAUGUAUUUCUCAGUAACACAACAAUGCCCACAGAAGGUAAUGUUAGAAGAAACAACCCCUCACUGUAGUUCAAGGAGGUUAGUUCUGAGUUUACAAUUUUUGCUACUUUCGAUCUAUAUCAGGAAUUGUUAAAUAUGCCUGUAACCUGAAUGUCAUGGUCAGUCUCAGAAGAACAUGACGUUUGAGAUCAAAACGAUUUCUCCUGCUAGUACUUAGCUUAAUCUACGGAUAAAAGAUUUUGAUGAUUAUUUGUGUAGGAAGUCAAGACAAAUCUCUCAGCUAAGCUCUAUAUAUAUACAACUUACUGCUUAAUAUUUUCAAGUGUUAAGUUGUUUGCCUUUUUUAUAUUUUAUUUUUUAAUUAAAUAUUAAAAAGUGAAAGAAAAAUCAAUAUAUUAUUUUUAAUAUUAAAAAAAUUAAAUAUUUUGAUUUUUUUUCUAUUCAAUAAAAAAUUUAAGAAAUAAAUAAUAAAUUCAUUAAAAGUAAAAAAACAAACAAUUUGAAAUCAAGAGAAAAGUUGCUUUCAACAAAAAAAAUUAAAAAGACAAACAUCACUUAAGAACUAUAAUAUUAAAAAAUGUUAAUAAAUUUUAAGGUAUCAAUUAAACUAAAUAUUUGAUUUAUUAAAUUAAUGUAAUGAGAUUUAAACUAUUGAAUAAAGGUAUAAAUGAAGAAAAAUCAAAACUAUCAAGGGCACAAAUAAAUAGGAUUAUGGUAUACAAUGACAACUAAUUGACGGUGACUUUUUAAUAAUUAUAAUUAUAUAUAUAUAUAUAUAUAUAUGUAUAUGGAUGAUCAUUGUGAAUUCAGGAUGACUUGGGUGUGUCUUAAAUGAAUUGUUAGAUAUAUACUUCCAGAGAAAAUUAGAAGGGGAUUGGAACCAGUCAUUGAUGACUUUUAGGCUGAGGAAUGAUAGUGAAAUCUUCUACAUCACCUCAUCCUCUUCACAACUCUAAGCCCAUAGAGAGCUUGUCUUCUACAUUUAGCUACACCAGCUGGUAGCUCUACCAUAUCUGAGAGAGCAUCAAAACCCUACUCCUGAAUACGAAAGUGAUCAAAACCACCCACCAUGGCUUGGAUAUGGACUGCACUUGCCCUGAUUGCCAUUGUUUUUCUCUUCAACAUGAUGAAAAACAAGCAUAAGAGGCUGCCUCCUGGCCCUAGAGGGAUCCCAAUUUUGGGCAAUAUGCAUAUGUUAGGGAGCUUGCCUCACCGAGCUCUACAAGCUCUAUCCAAAAAGUAUGGCCCCAUCAUGUACAUGCGGUUAGGCUUUGUGCCCGCCAUUGUUGUUUCUUCCCCUCAGGCUGCCGAGCAGUUCCUGAAGACACAUGACCUUGUUUUCGCUAAUAGGCCACCCCAUGAGUGUUCAAGGCACAUGCUAUAUGAUGGAAAGGGCAUAUCGUUUUCUGGGUAUGGCCCUUAUUGGCGCAGCAUGCGCAAGCUGUGCACCUUGGAGUUGCUCACCAGCCGUAAGAUUAACUCCUUCAAGCCUAUGAGAAGGGAAGAGGUUGGCCUGUUGAUCAAGUCUUUUGAGGAAGCUGCGCGAGCUGGUGCUGCAGUUGAUGUCAGUGCCAAGGUUGCGUUGCUGAGUGCAGACAUGAGUUGUAGGAUGGUAUUUGGGAAGAAGUACAUGGACAAGGAUCUUGAUGAAAGGGGAUUCAAGGCUGUGAUUCAAGAGGCAAUGCAGUUGGCUGCUACUCCUAAUAUUGGUGAUUACAUUCCUUGCCUUCUGGGGCUUGAUCUUCAGGGUCUGACAAGGCGGAUAAAGGCAACGGGUAAGGUGUUUGAUGACUUCUUUGAGAAGAUCAUUGAUGAGCAUAUUCAUAAGCCUAAGGAGGAAGGACAGACAAAGGACUUGGUCGAUGUGAUGCUGGACUUAAUGGGAUCUGAAGAGACUGAAUACAACAUCCAACGGGCCAACAUCAAAGCUAUAUCUUUGGUAACCAUCUAUAUAUUGAACUUACAUUGAUUUAAGCAUGAUGUAUAAAGCUGAGUUCCCUUGUAAUACAGGAUAUGAUGGCAGCCUCCAUGGACACUUCAGCAACCAUGAUUGAGUGGGCACUUUCAGAACUCAUCAAGCAUCCACCGAUGAUGAAAAAAGUUAUAAAUGAGUUGGAAAAAGUGGUGGGCAUGGAGAGAAUGGUGGAGGAAUCAGACUUAGAGAGCUUGGAGUACCUGAACAUGGUUGUGAAGGAGACCUUGAGGCUCCACCCAGUGGCACCUCUACUGAUCCCUCAUGAGUCCAUGGAAGACUGCACAGUUGAUGGCUUCCAUAUACCCCAAAAAUCUCGUGUAAUAGUGAAUGUAUGGGCGAUAGGGCGCGACCCCAAUGCAUGGACUGAUGCAGACAAGUUCCUGCCAGAGAGGUUUAUGGAGAGCGAUAUAGAUUUUCGGGGGCAGCACUUUCAAUUUAUCCCGUUUGGCUCUGGUAGAAGAGGUUGCCCCGGGAUGCAAUUAGGCCUCACCGUGGUUCGGCUCGUGCUGGCGCAACUUGUUCAUUGCUUUGAUUGGGAACUUCCAGAUAACAUGUUGCCAAGUGAGUUGGACAUGACUGAGGAGUUUGGCCUCACAUUACCAAGGGCCAAGCAUCUAGUGGCUAUUCCUACUUGUCGCCUUCACAAAUGAUAUAAUCUCUGUAUCAUUGCCAACUGAGUUCCAAUGUUGAAUGUGAAAUAUGAAUAAUAACGCUUUAUGCUUUAUGUAAAACUACAGUAUCUGCUGCAAAGUUGGAUCCUCUUACUUUGGUAGGUCAUCGUAUUGCUGACCAGAAAAUCAAAAUUAAAAGUCUUGCUCAAUUGAACUUAAGAAGGAAGAAUAUGGAACUUAGCGCGCAUUUAAUGAUUUUCAUCUGGUAGUUGAUCAAGUGAAAUAAAACUUAGUUCUGAGUUCGCAUUUUUAGCCACUUAGGUCCAACUGACCAUUGCCUGGUGAUAGUCCUUCUGAAAUGUAUUAGGAUUGUGAACUGAUUGGGAAUGUUAUAUAUGCAUAUAACCCCAAAACUUAAUUAUCACGGUCAGUUUUCAGAAGAACAAAAUAUUUGGGCCGUGAUACUAAUCGUUUAAACAGAUGGAAACCCGAAACUUGUCGUGAUUAUUUUUAUAAAAACAUGACUCUUACGCUGGAAUGGACCUAACCCUAUAUAAUAUGCAGCAGGCAUCAACUUAACAUAUAACCGUGGUCAACCCUAAUAUAGGGUAAAUAACAUUCCAUAUUCAUUAUCAUGAAAUGAAUUGACAUUUCAAUUCAUUUGAGAGUAUUCGAUUUGAUGUUUAGCAUGAAUUUUAAUCUGAAUUACAUCACUGUCACUUCUUUUUUAUUUUAUGGUAAGGCCAAUCUGAUUUGAGAAUGCCAAGAGGAUCAUAUAUAUAUAUAUAUAUAGUGACAAAAGUUGAUCCAAUGUAGCAUGAUUAAGAGUUCGUUAUGAUCUAAACUACGAAAAAUAACCACAAAAAUGGAAUCUCAGCUCCCUAUGUACCUUACUGCUAAAUGCUGAAAAGGGAGGAAUAUAAAACAGAAGGGUCGCAAUCUGCUUUGAUCUUCAUCUCAUUGUAUUUCUCAGUAACACAACAAGGCACAUGGGAUAAUGUUAGAAAAUAGGAACAAGCUGCUGCCACAAUUAAUAUUACACAAGAAACCAAUAAAUAAAAAAAAUAUGGUAGUUUUGUCAGGAUCAUAAUUAUUCAUAGGUUCUAUCAGUGUGAGGAUGUCCUUUAAUCUCAAGCUGUAGCUCACAAUUGGUGCCUUCCAAGGUUCACGGUAUGAAAUCAACUAUGAGUCUUUUUUGGUAGUGAUAAAACAAAUCUUGAACUAAAAUAAUUUCUUCUUACAAAUUAAUCCUUGAGUCUGUUGCUGAUUUCCCAGAUGAGAUCCUUAAAUCAAAACAACCUUAGAUAUAGUAUUAAUCAUGCAUUAGCAUUGAUAUCACCUACAUUUUAAUUUGUCUCUUCUGUUUUGCCGUUCAAUAUUCCCAAAUCACACAUAAAUAUCCAAAGUACUGCACCCUAUAUAUAUAGGGGGAUCGCCUUCUACAUUGAGACCAGCUCCGCCAUGGAUUGGUCAUGGAUUGCACUUUCACUGAUUGCUCUUGCUUAUGUUGUUCGAGCAUUGCUAAACAUAAGCAAGAACAAGCAUAAGAGAUUGCCUCCUGGUCCAAGAGGGAUCCCCAUUUUGGGAAACCUUCAUAUGCUAGGUGAGUUGCCUCACCAGGAUCUCCUUCGACUCGCCAAGAAGUAUGGCCCCAUCAUGUACAUGCGCUUUGCCCUGGUGCCCACCAUUGUGGUCUCAUCCCCUCAAGCAGCUGAGCAGUUCCUCAAGACGAAUGAUCUUGUUUUUGCUGGAAGGCCACCUCAUGAAGGUUCAAGAAUUGUAUCCUACGACCGAAAAGGCAUAUCCUUUACAGACUAUGGUCCUUAUUGGCGCAACAUGCGCAAGUUAUGCACCUUGGGACUACUUAGCAAUCUCAGAAUCAGUUCUUUCCAGCCCCUGAG